rnacentral:misc_RNA from 1 species
AAGUCGUAACAAGGUUUCCGUGAGGUGCAACCUGGCAGGGAAGGAUUACAAUUUAAAGAAUUAGGCUUCGCGGCUAAGUUCUCCUACCCUUUGUCAUAACCCGAAAUCCAUUGGUUGGCCUUUGGCAGGUCCCCUGCGAUUUCUCGGGCCUGCCAGAGGUUACAACCUAGAAUCUCUGCUGUCUGAGUACUAUACAAUAGUUAAAA